rnacentral:rRNA from 1 species
UACGGGGGGAGCAAGCGUUGUUCGGAAUUACUGGGCGUAAAGCGUGCGCAGGCGGUUCGCUAAGACCGAUGUGAAAUCCCCGGGCUUAACCUGGGAACUGCAUUGGUGACUGGCGGGCUAGAGUAUGGCAGAGGGGGGUAGAAUUCCACGUGUAGCAGUGAAAUGCGUAGAGAUGUGGAGGAAUACCGAUGGCGAAGGCAGCCCCCUGGGCCAAUACUGACGCUCAUGCACGAAAGCGUGGGGAGCAAACAGG